rnacentral:lncRNA from 12 species
CUGUUGUAUGUUUGUGCACAACUAAAACUCUAGACCUAGGCCCAAAAUGAGAGGGAGAGGAUAUUGUGAGGAAACCAAGGCCCAUUAAGGAAAACCCAACUUCUGGGCACAGCUUCCUGGUGGACUUCCUUCUUCCAUUCUCUACUAAUGUGACAUUUUUUUUUUCACUUCAUAUUGCCAUACUGACAGAAAUUCCACCAAUCCUAAAUUUCUUAGCAAAAACAAUUUCCCCCUUUCCCCCUUUUUAUAGACUUCAUACAUGAGGUUUAUCAAUCACUUGCUCACUGAAAUGAAGUCACUGUUCCUCCCAACUUGUAGCUACAACCAGCUAUUUUGAAGACACUGGAAUUUUGUUUGAGGUGGAGGCUGUCCUAUCAGAUCAUAGAGCCAUCAAGCAAAGCCUCACAUGCAUAGGGCCAGAUGGAAGCGCAUCCCAGACUGGAAGGCCUGAUAGGAAUUUGGUAAAUUCUUCCUUUUAUUUCUUUUCCCCUAUUGGAAUAGCAAGAAAAUGUGGUCUGGGGAGAGAUGCUGAAAUAUUGCAAUUGGUGUCCACAUGUAACCACUCAGACAGUGCAGCUGUAUUGCCAAAAACAAAAGAAAACAAAACAAAAAAAGGAUGUUACUGGCAAAUGGACUCAAGUCAAUCCAAUGUAACUGAGAGGGUCUAUAAGCAUUUUGGAAGAGUUAAUAUGUAUUAUAAUCCCUUUUUCUUUACUAUCUUAUAGCCUAAAUUGAUAAAAUGUUAAAAAUUUCCAUCUAUAUUCCAUAUAUGUUCAUUCUUUCCUACUUGCAAGCUUCUCAAAUUCAGAUAAUUACUUAUGGUCCUUGCCUAUCCCACUAUCCCCCAGACACAUCAUCCCUUCCCACACUGACACCUUCUGGUGUAUAAUACAGUUCUAUGCAUGUUGAAAGAAUCUGAACAAAUCAUUGUUUGUAGAAAUAAAAAAAAAACUUAGAUUAUAUAUAUAUAUUUG